GAUGAACGCUAGCUACAGGCUUAACACAUGCAAGUCGAGGGGCAGCAUGUUGGUUGCUUGCAACCAACGAUGGCGACCGGCGCACGGGUGAGUAACGCGUAUCCAACCUGCCCUUGUCCAUCGGAUAACCCGUCGAAAGGCGGACUAACACGAUAUGCAGUCCACAGCAGGCAUCUAACGUGGACGAAAUGUGAAGGAGAAGGAUGGGGAUGCGUCUGAUUAGCUUGUUGGCGGGGUAACGGCCCACCAAGGCGACGAUCAGUAGGGGUUCUGAGAGGAAGGUCCCCCACAUUGGAACUGAGACACGGUCCAAACUCCUACGGGAGGCAGCAGUGAGGAAUAUUGGUCAAUGGGCGAGAGCCUGAACCAGCCAAGUAGCGUGCAGGAUGACGGCCCUAUGGGUUGUAAACUGCUUUUAUACGGGGAUAAAGUGAGCCACGUGUGGCUUAUUGCAGGUAUCGUAUGAAUAAGGACCGGCUAAUUCCGUGCCAGCCGCCGCCGUAAUAC
rnacentral:rRNA from 1 species